rnacentral:rRNA from 1 species
ACGCACGCUGGCGGCGUGCUUAACACAUGCAAGUCGAACGGAAAGGCCCUGCUUUUGUGGGGUGCUCGAGUGGCGAACGGGUGAGUAACACGUGAGUAACCUGCCCUUGACUUUGGGAUAACUUCAGGAAACUGGGGCUAAUACCGGAUAGGAGCUCCUGCUGCAUGGUGGGGGUUGGAAAGUUUCGGCGGUUGGGGAUGGACUCGCGGCUUAUCAGCUUGUUGGUGGGGUAGUGGCUUACCAAGGCUUUGACGGGUAGCCGGCCCGAGAGGGUGACCGGCCACAUUGGGACUGAGAUACGGCCCAGACUCCUACGGGAGGCAGCAGUGGGGAAUAUUGCACAAUGGGCGGAAGCCUGAUGCAGCAACGCCGCGUGCGGGAUGACGGCCUUCGGGUUGUAAACCGCUUUCGCCUGUGACGAAGCGUGAGUGACGGUAAUGGGUAAAGAAGCACCGGCUAACUACGUG